GGGGUUGUGGCUCAGUGGUACAGUGCUUCUCUAGCACAUGAGAGGCCCUGGGUUUGAUCCUCAGCACCACA
rnacentral:tRNA from 1 species